rnacentral:rRNA from 1 species
UACGUAGGGCGCAAGCGUUGUCCGGAAUUAUUGGGCGUAAAGAGCUCGUAGGCGGUUUGUCGUGUCUGCUGUGAAAACCUCAGGCUCAACCUGGGGCUUGCAGUGGGUACGGGCAGACUAGAGUGCGGUAGGGGUGACUGGAAUUCCUGGUGUAGCGGUGGAAUGCGCAGAUAUCAGGAGGAACACCGAUGGCGAAGGCAGGUCACUGGGCCGCAACUGACGCUGAGGAGCGAAAGCGUGGGGAGCAAACAGG